GUGGCCCAUGUAUGAAGGAUAGGAUACACCCCAGGUCUGUAAUGAUGUAUUUGGAUGUUUGCAGCUCGAUGAUGUAAAUACACUUACAGGCCUGGUGUGCAGCAGGUUGACAGUUAGUAUG